GACAGAGGUGCCAAGCGUUAGGCGGAAUCACUGGGCUUAAAGCGUGUGUAGGCGGAAUGGUAAGUACCUUGUGAAAUCCCACGGCUCAACCGUGGAACUGCUUGGUAUACUGCUUUUCUUGAGCCACUUAGGGGCAACCGGAACAAACGGUGGAGCAGUGAAAUGCGUAGAUAUCGUUUGGAACGCCAAUGGUGAAAACAGGUUGCUGGGAGUGUGCUGACGCUGAGACACGAAAGCCAGGGGAGCAAACGGG
rnacentral:rRNA from 1 species